CCCUUAGAUGUUCUGGGCAGCACGCGCGCUACAAUGGUCUUCGCAAACGGAUGCAUUCUCGAAGGAGAAUGCCAAUCUUGGAAUCUAUGCCUUGGUCGGGACAGUUGCUUGCCAUUUUUCGACUCGAACCAGGAAUUCCUUGUAAUCGUGAUUCAUCACAUCACGAUGAAUACGUCCCUGCCCUUUGUACACACCGCCCGUCGCUCCUACCGAUCGAAGAGUUAGGUGAAUUGUUUUGAUCGAUAAGAUUUGACUAUGGUCAACUCUCGUUGUGAAAUUCUGUGAAUCUGACUGUUUAGAGGAAGGAAAAGUCGUAACA
rnacentral:rRNA from 1 species